GCGUGGGAAUCUACCCAUCUCUACGGAAUAACUCAGGGAAACUUGUGCUAAUACCGUAUACGCCCUUAGGGGGAAAGAUUUAUCGGAGAUGGAUGAGCCCGCGUUGGAUUAGCUAGUUGGUGGGGUAAAGGCCUACCAAGGCGACGAUCCAUAGCUGGUCUGAGAGGAUGAUCAGCCACACUGGGACUGAGACACGGCCCAGACUCCUACGGGAGGCAGCAGUGGGGAAUAUUGGACAAUGGGCGAAAGCCUGAUCCAGCCAUGCCGCGUGAGUGAUGAAGGCCCUAGGGUUGUAAAGCUCUUUCAACGGUGAAGAUAAUGACGGUAACCGUAGAAGAAGCCCCGGCUAACUUCGUGCCAGCAGCCGCGGUAAUACGAAGGGGGCUAGCGUUGUUCGGAAUUACUGGGCGUAAAGCGCACGUAGGCGGAUACUUAAGUCAGGGGUGAAAUCCCGAGGCUCAACCUCGGAACUGCCUUUGAUACUGGGUAUCACGAGUCCGGAAGAGGUGAGUGGAAUUCCGAGUGUAGAGGUGAAAUUCGUAGAUAUUCGGAGGAACACCAGUGGCGAAGGCGGCUCACUGGUCCGGUACUG
rnacentral:rRNA from 1 species